GAUAAACUAGAACAGGACUUUUGGUCAACCCUCAUUUUACUUCUCUACUUUCUUCGUUAGGAGAGAUCAUCAAUUCUAUCAUUGGGCGACCCGAGGGUUUUAGCUUUAAACUCGUUGGUCUAAGAUUCAGGCGGUGAGACUAGCUCUGAACUUGCGCAUCCCCAGCCCUAGCAGCUUGCGUAUACUUUCAACUUUUGAUUGCAUUCCCUCUCUCCAGAGAAGAGAAGAGGAGGGAGAAGAGGAUGUCGUUUAAGAAAGAACCCUGCAGAAACUUUCAGCGUGGUCAUUGUCAAUUCGGCGAAGCGUGUAGAUAUCUUCAUGUGACUCAGCAACAGCCGAAAUCUAAUGUCUUUGGAUUUGGGACCCAAACUGGUUUAAAUGAACAGAAAAAGUUAAAUCCUUUUGGAUUUGGGACUCAAACAGGCUCUCACCAACAGCAGAAGUCCAAUCCUUUUGGCUUUGGUGUUCAGAGCAGUUCUCACCCAAAAGUGGGCACAGAUUUUGUAUCCAAACAGAAUCAAUCCAAGCUUUUUCAAAAUACAUGGACUCGUUCCACCUCCACACCUACUGGUGUUGCCCCACGGAAAUCUGAUAAUGAGACUCAAGCUGCAAAUCAUAAGUGCACUGACCCUGAGGCUUGCAGACGCCAAAUUGUAGAAGAUUUUGAGUCUGAAAGACCACUUUGGAAGCUAACCUGCUAUGGUCAUUCGAAAAAUGCACCAUGUGACAUUGUUGGUGAUAUUAGCUAUGAAGAAUUGCGGGCGGCAGCAUAUGAUGAUGCUAAGCAUGGGUUGAAUUUUCAGUCAAUAGUUGAGAGAGAGAGGAACUUACUCAGUUCCAAGUUAGUUGAGUUUGAUAACCUCCUCCGUAAGCCAUAUGCAGUUCUACCGAGCCGUUCUUCUAGCCAAACCCCAUUUUCUGGGGCCAGACCCAAUUCAUUUCCACCGACUGCUCAAAAUAGUGCCCCUCCUUUGGUCUCAAGCUUUAAUCAACUAGGUGCAUCACAAAAUUUGGGUCUCGGAAUUAGGCCCUUCACACCAUCUAACAAUGCUUUUGUGCAACUAAAUGCAAACCCAUAUUCUAGCCAGGCAUCGAAUGCAUUUGGAACAAACAAUUUGCCACAUAGAAGCGAAGGUGCAUUUAAUGGCCAAAUUCCUGCCCAGACACCUGGAAGCUCCUUUACAUCCAAUAUAGCAGGCUUCAACAACGGUGAUAACAUGAAUGCUGGAAGUACAUCUCGAGCAGCAGCUGCUCAAAUUUCAAAUUCAAGUAGUAACCAUUCACCUGUCGUUCGAAAUGGGCCCAACUUUAGUGCAGGUGAACCAGCAAACACAAAUGUUCAGUUCAUCUGUCAGGUUUGAAAGUAUCUAAUGAUGCAUCUGGAAUUAACUUUACGCAACUUGGGUUUGAAUCAAACAACAUACUUGGAUUGGCUUGAAACUUCUUGGCUCAAUAGCUUCAUGAAUAACUUGCAAACAGAAGAUGUGUCUGGGAACUCGAGUGUUUGGUUAAAAGAGAAAUGGAAUCCUGGAGAGAUUCCAGAAGAGGCUCCUCCAGAUGCAUUUAUCUAGCUAGGAUACUUUUGGGUUUAUAUGGAAAAGGUUUUUAGCAGUUUUCUAGAAUCCAACAAAUCAAAUAUAUUGUCAUCACUUGCAAAAUAAGCAUCCUUAUAAACGUAGCUGCAGAAAGACUGGAUCAGUCUCUCAGCUUGUCAAGACGAGAGAGUUGCACAUUUGUAGCAAAGCAUAGCGAUGUUAUGGCCCUUAGCACUGAAAUUUGUUAAUUAAGCCUAUCAUCCAUCUAUUUGAAUUCUGACAAGAUUUGAUCA